rnacentral:rRNA from 1 species
CAAAAGCCUGACGGAGCAAUACCGCGUGAGGGAUGACGGCCUUUGGGUUGUAAACCUCUUUUAUCAAGGAGGAAGUUCUGACGUGUACUUGAUGAAUAAGCAUCGGCUAACUCCGUGCCAGCAGCCGCGGUAAGACGGAGGAUGCAAGUGUUAUCCGGAAUCACUGGGCGUAAAGCGUCUGUAGGUUGUUUAAAAAGUCUGCAGUUAAAGGUUGAAGCUUAACUUCAAAAAUGCCGUAGAAACUUUUAAACUAGAGGAUGGUAGGGGUAGAGGGAAUUUCCAGUGGAGCGGUGAAAUGUGUAGAUAUUGGAAAGACCACCAACGGCGAAGGCACUCUACUGGGCCAUUACUGACACUGAGAGACGAAAGCUAGGGGAGCA